UACGUAGGGGGCGAGCGUUGUCCGAAUUUACUGGGCGUAAAGCGCGCGUAGGCGGACCUUUAAGUGGGGGGUGAAAUUCCGGGGCUCAACUUCGGAACUGCCUUUCAAACUGGAGGUCUUGAGGUAUGGAGAGGGAAGUGGAAUUCCUGGUGUAGCGGUGAAAUGCGUAGAUAUCAGGAGGAACACCCGUGGCGAAGGCGGCUUUCUGGCCAUAUCCUGACGCUGAGGUGCGAAAGCCAGGGGAG
rnacentral:rRNA from 1 species